UGAAAGCUCCUGGUGGUAAAGUCGGUCCAAGGUCACGCUGGGGAUGGCUCUGAACACCAGGGCUGCCUGGAACGCGCCUGUCCCUCGCCUGGCUGGCCCCGCCACCACUUCCCUUACUCCUCAAGAGGCGGCCAGAGAAAGGGUGGCGAUAAGGACAGGAGUGGGGACAAGAAAGACAGAAGCGAAGAGGGAGAGGCCGGGCUUUGCGGAAACGCAAUAAGUGAAAAUCACGAUUCGCUCGGAGGCACCUCGGAGGGACUCCCUGGUCGCAUCUCAAAGACUCUGCUUCCAAAAAUGGGCCCUCGGGAGUUUGCUCUGUCCAGCGGGGUCCGCGGCCGGGGGGACGCUCCCAAGGCCUCCAGAUCGGGGGGCGACUUCCCGCGGCGCUGGGGCACCUGAGCCUCACCCUGAGGUGUGUGCACUGAAAAUGGCCCUGGGCACGCGGGAGCCCUGGGUAAGUGUCCUGCGGUGGUGAAGGCGCACGGAGCUGAGGCGCGCGGAG